UACGAAGGGGGCUAGCGUUGCUCGGAAUCACUGGGCGUAAAGGGUGCGUAGGCGGGUCUUUAAGUCAGGGGUGAAAUCCUGGAGCUCGACUCCAGAACUGCCUUUGAUACUGAAGAUCUUGAGUUCGGGAGAGGUGAGUGGAACUGCGAGUGUAGAGGUGAAAUUCGUAGAUAUUCGCAAGAACACCAGUGGCGAAGGCGGCUCACUGGCCCGAUACUGACGCUGAGACGCGAAAGCGUGGGGAGCGAACAGG
rnacentral:rRNA from 1 species